GCACUUGAAUGCGAAGUGGUCGAGCUGCCUGUCUCUCAAGCAGGCGAUUAGCGGGUUCGAGUCCCGUCAGGUGCACGA
rnacentral:tRNA from 1 species